rnacentral:rRNA from 1 species
UCAGGUGGUUAUUGCGGUGAGGUCCCACCUCUUCCCAUUCCGAACAGAGAAGAUAAGCUCACUUGCGCCGAUGGUACUGCAAUGCAAUGCGGGGGAGUAGGUAGCCGCCUCCU